rnacentral:rRNA from 1 species
GACAGAGGGGGCAAGCGUUGCUCGGAAUUACUGGGCGUAAAGGGCGCGUAGGCGGGAUGGCAAGUCGGUCGUGAAAUCCCUCGGCUCAACUGAGGAUCGUCGAUCGAUACUGCCGUUCUUGAGGAUUGCAGAGGAGACUGGAAUUUACGGUGUAGCGGUGAAAUGCGUAGAUAUCGUAAGGAAGACCAGUGGCGAAGGCGGGUCUCUGGACAGUUCCUGACGCUGAGGCACGAAGGCCAGGGGAGCAAACGGG